rnacentral:rRNA from 1 species
GACGAACGCUGGCGGCGUGCUUAACACAUGCAAGUCGAACGGAAAGGCCCGGCUUUUGUGGGGUGCUCGAGUGGCGAACGGGUGAGUAACACGUGAGUAACCUGCCCUUGACUUUGGGAUAACUUCAGGAAACUGGGGCUAAUACCGGAUAGGAGCUCCUGCUGCAUGGUGGGGGUUGGAAAGUUUCGGCGGUUGGGGAUGGACUCGCGGCUUAUCAGCUUGUUGGUGGGGUAGUGGCUUACCAAGGCUUUGACGGGUAGCCGGCCUGAGAGGGUGACCGGCCACAUUGGGACUGAGAUAAGGCCCAGACUCCUACGGGAGGCAGCAGUGGGGAAUAUUGCACAAUGGGCGGAAGCCUGAUGCAGCAACGCCGCGUGCGGGAUGACGGUCUUCGGGUUGUAAACCGCUUUCGCCUGUGACGAAGCGUGAGUGACGGUAAUGGGUAAAGAAGCACCGGCUAACUACGUG